rnacentral:misc_RNA from 1 species
AACGCACAUUGCGCCCGCCAGUAUUCUGGCGGGCAUGCCUGUCUGAGCGUCAUUUCAACCCUCAGGGCCCGCUCGCGGGACCUGGCGUUGGGGAUCAGCUUCCGAGCUGGCCCCUAAAUCUAGUGGCGGUCCACCCACGACCUCCUCUGUGCAGUAGCGAUACCUCGCAGCUGGAUAGUGGUCGGGCCACGCCGUAAAACCCCCUACUUCUCAAGGUUGACCUCAGAUCAGGUAGGAAUACCCGCUGAACUUAA